rnacentral:rRNA from 1 species
AAUGUAAUUAUUUUACUUAAGUAGUAAAAGUUAUGUUCUAGAAACUUAAAAAAUUUGGCGGUAUUUUAGUCUAUUCAGAGGAACCUGUUCUGUAAUCGAUAUUCCACGUUGGACCUUACUUAAGUUUGUUAAUCAGUUUAUAUACCGUCGUUAUCAGAAUAUUUUAAAAGAAAAAUAAUUUUCUAAAAUUUUAAUUAAAAUUUAUAUCAGAUCAAGGUGUAGCUUAUAUUUAAGUAGAAAUGGGUUACAAUAAAAAUAUUUUUGGAUUUAAUUAUGAAAAAAUUAAUAAAAUUGGAUUUGAUAGUAAAAUUAUAAAGAUUAUUAAUUUGAUUAUAGCUCU